AGGGACGCCCCCACAGGUAGACGAAGAGGGUCCAGAGAAAGGUGGGGAUUCCCUAACCCCUUCUUUCUUGGCACAGACAGGCAGAGAACACCUCUUUUCUCACCCCUGGGCAGCCCCAGGAAGUCAAUCCUUCCACUAUUCCUGCUCCGUGCCUCUCUUCCCUCUGCCCAGAUUCCUGGGAGACUCAAAACCCUGUUCAACUCUCUCUGGGCUAGCUGCUCCCCUCCCCAAGAGGAUUUCUCUCCAGAGCUGGUAUCAUCGCUUAAUGAUGUUCCACCAACAAGGGGAAGGGUCCCCACCAGAUACAUACAUAUGGCUAUUGAGCACUUGAAAUGUGUGUAGUCUGAAAUGAUCUGUGCUGUGGCAUCUGUGCUGUGCCUGUCAUUCAUUGAGAACAGUUUGUUUUCUGCUUAUGGAAUCACAAAAAUAUUUAAUCUGAAGCUUCAGUGGUGCAGCCGUCCUUGAGGCUGCAGACCAUAGGAUCCUUCCUUCUCUGUCUGGAUGCACUGGAGGGCCAGCAUUCUCGGAGGUGGCCAGGGUCCUCUGAGAAGCCAGCGCCCAAGUGGUACCUGAGUCCAGUGAACGGCAAGUUUCUUUUCUGGGAGCUGCUAUCACUGAAUACAUAAAGAAAUUGAGCCUAUAUGAUUUCAAUCUUCACCUUCUGAUGCUGAUGAAACAGGAUUCUAUGCAGAGAAAAUCCUCUCCAGUCAAGUAAUUGCAUCCAUUUCAUCUUCCCAGCCCUCCUCUAGAUGGGAGGUGGAGGUGUGUGUACCAAUCUCUUAAUUCAGAAAUGAGACAAGAGGAGGAAAAAGGAGUUCCGGAGGACAGUGGGGACCCCAGCCAGAGCCUGGGGACUUGGCUGCCUUGGAACCAGAACCUGGCCCCUCAGAGGAGUUGCAGAAUUUCGAUAGAGGAGUGGCAGGAGGUGUACUGGCUGAAGAGGAGGCCCAAGGAACUCCUUUUCAUACAUCAAAACUGAGCUUAUCACCUCUACCCUGAAGUCAUCCUGGACAUCACUGGUCCCAGUUAAUCACUCACUUAUCUUUGCCAUCCUUGACCUGGGAAGAGAACGUUGCCCUCAUUGGUCUGGAAUCAGCAGGUACCUCAUGGCUGGAGGUGUAUUUUCAGACUCCUUUGGCAUCUGGUGAGGCCUGUGGAUUCAUUCUCAGAAUCACAUUUUUAAAUGCACAUAAUAAAAUACAUAGAAUUGCAAAGGAAGUUAAUUAUAUUGAAAUACAGUUAUCAAAAAUAUAAAUAAAACAAGUAUGUGGUACAGUCAUAUGUGUGCUUCUUUAUUAAGUCAUUACAAAGCAAGAUCUAUUUGGAGGUCUAAUAACUGUCAUAUGCUUGAAAAAAUCCUUAACAAUCAUAAUAUAUUAAAAAAUCUGAUUUCUACUUUGGCAAAUCAUAGAUAUUGCUGAAACUGUGGUUUAUUGCCUGCAUUCAUAAUUGAAGGAAAUGCUAGAGUUCAGUGAGAAGGUUGUGAAAAUAAAGAGAGCCUUUUUUUCUCAUCAAG
rnacentral:lncRNA from 1 species